GUGGGCCUCGCCUCGCCUGGUGGGCUCUGGGCCUCUCCGCCUGCGCCUUCGUACCCCGCUGUCCCUCUUCAGCUCCCAGGCGCCUGGCCUAGAAGCUGCUGCAGGCAGGCGUUCCGCCCCCGGCUGGGACUGCUCCGAGCACUGGUUACCCGGCGCCCUUGCGUCGCCCCUAAGUCUUGGGUUUCGUCACUACACCCCCGCCCAACGCUUGCCCGGCGGGCCGCCCUCAGAUCCUGCGCAUGGCCCUUGGGGACACUCCAUCCGGUCCUGGACGCUGGCCGAGACAUCCCAGACCAGUUUGAGGUGGACGCGGCGGGUGUGGAGCGGGCCCAGAAGCUUGAGAUUUUGAGGACGUGAUACAAGUCAGUCUUCCAUCCUGGAGCUCUAGAGGGUGUGGUGAUUAAAACUACAUUGAUGUAACUUUACUGGAUAAUUUCAGGAUGUUCUUCUACUGUUUGACCUGUAUGGGCAUACUAAUUAAACGUUAGAAUUCGUUACAUGCACUGGGUUCUGGUCAUAAGAACGACAGAAAACACUUACUGAACACCUGCUAUGUGCCAGACACCAUACCAAGUCUGUUUCCGAGAUCUUUUUCCAUUUCAGAAUAACCUGUUUAGAUUGGUCCUUGUAUUACCCCCGUUUUGCAGAUGAUUAUACAGGCUGAACUGCGACUCACCCAGGUGAGGGGCUAGCCCCCAGUGUUGCCUACUGCACCAGUCAGUGCUUGUUCUCUGUAGGUCCUUUGGUAGGACACUUUCCUGCCUUGGUCUUCUGUAAGUCAGGGGGUCUUCCCCAGUGACUGGGCAGUGCCCAGCAUGAUUGGUGAGUGUAUAGUUUCAUCUGGGGGUGAUCCGUGGGAUCCAGUUUUAGAUUUAUAGGUAGACACUACCUGUCUGUGAGCUUUGGUUUUUAAAAAUAGAAAAGUUGUAAAGACUUUAUUUAAUGAAUUUAAGAGUUAAGUAGGUUCAACAUAGCAGAUACAAGUGAUGUAAGUAAAACCAUAUUGGUUGAUCUGAGUUAAAAAUUUGGGUCAAUUGAUUUAAAAGAAAACAAAACACGCCUAAUUUAGUGAGCAUCGCUAGAGCACCAUAGAAGUGCCUGACUCCAGCUGUGUGGACAUGUGAAGGGAAUGACACAGCCAGCUAAAUAGAGCUUCUUUGCUUUUAAGUGCAUUUUAUUUUUAGCAGACUCUAGGAUUUCUAAAGUAGAUAGUCAUAUCUGCAAUUUAAGACAAUUUUAUUUCUUUGCAACCUUUAUGCUUUUUUAUUUAUAUAUUUACGUGGCCAAGCCAAUUGACUUGUAUCUUAGUUCGCCAACUAGGGACUGAACCCAGGCCCUCUGCAGUGAAAGCGGAGUCCUAACCACUAGACCACCAGAGAAUUCCCUUUAGUUUACUUUUAAGUGUGCCAAAUACCAUACAGAGCUUGUUUGUUCACAGAACGUGCUGAUCAAAAAGGAAGAUGUUUUCAGUGUUGACUGUACAACAUACUAAACGGUGGUCAUGUGUUUGAAUUGAGAACUGAUAUAGACCUAUUGUUCUUGUAAACCUCUAGUUCAUGCAGGAAAAUGCAUUUACUAUGAAAAAAAACAUUUGAUACAGGGAUUGAACCUGAUCUGGAUGUAGCAAGGUAUGUGAGGUAGUGUUCCGCCUGUGCCUUGCUGCAGCCUCUGUGCUGCGGGAUGCGGGUUGAGGAUGAAUUAAACUGGUUUUGUUUUGGUGACUCCCCACAGGGCCUGGAUGACUGUGUUCCUGUGUGUCAGCCUGUGCCCUGGCAGAGCAGCUGAUUAGAAAAUGAUGCUGACUGUAUUUACAGCUGUAUUAAGUUCCUGCUCCUUUAAAAAAAAAAAAAAGGAAGAUC